rnacentral:rRNA from 1 species
AGAGUUUGAUCCUGGCUCAGAAUGAACGCUGGCGGCAUGGCUAAGACAUGCAAGUCGAACGGACUAUUUAAUUUAUUAGAUAGUUAGUGGCGAAAGGGUGAGGAAUAAAUAGGUAACGUACCCUGUGUUUCAGAAUAGCGUCUAGGUGCUUGCACCUUUCCGAAAGGGGCGGUAAUGCUGAAUAAUAUCAUUUACUUAAUGUAGAUGAUCAAAGAUUUAUCGACACAGGAGCGGCCUAUUUCCUAUCAGCUAGUUGGUGAGGUAAUGGCUCACCAAGGCGACGACGGGUAGCGGGACUGAGAGGUUGACCCGCCACAUCGGGACUGAGACACUGCCCGGACCUCCACGGAGGGCUGCAGUAACGAAUAUUGGGCAAUGGGCGAAAGCCUGACCCAGCAAUGCCGCGUGUAGGAUGAAGCCUUUCGGGGUGUAAACUACUGUCAGGGAUUAGAAAGCUACGGUUGAUCAAUCCCAGAGGAAGUCACGGCUAACUUCGUGCCAGCAGCCGCGGUAAUACGAAGGUGGCAAGCGUUAUUCGAAAUCACUGGGCUUAAAGGGCGCGUAGGCGGACAUACAAGUGUUUUGUGAAAUCCCUCGGCUUAACCGAGGAAUUGCUCAGCAAACUGUAUGUCUUGAGUCAAGUAGGGGUGUGUGGAACUCUUGGUGGAGCGGUGGAAUGCGUAGAUAUCAAGAGGAACGCCGAAGGUGAAGACAGCACACUAGGCUUGUACUGACGCUGAGGCGCGAAAGCGUGGGGAGCGAACAGGAUUAGAUACCCUGGUAGUCCACGCCGUAAACGAUGUCUACUAGGUUGCGGGGGUUCUGACACCGUCGCAGUCGAAGCAAAAGUGUUAAGUAGACCGCCUGGGGAGUACGGUCGCAAGGCUAAAACUCAAAGGAAUUGACGGGGGCUCACACAAGCGGUGGAGCAUGUGGAUUAAUUCGAAGCAACGCGCAGAACCUUACCUGGGUUUGACAUGUUUGGAUGGUUGCCGGGAAACCGGUUAACUUGCCCUUCGGGGUGAAACUUACACAGGUGCUGCAUGGCUGUCGUCAGCUCGUGUCGUGAGAUGUCGGGUUAAGUCCUUUAACGAGCGAAACCCUUACCGUUAGUUGCCAGCGCGUCAUGGCGGGGACUCUAGCGGGACUGCCGGUGUUAAACCGGAGGAAGGCGGGGAUGACGUCAAGUCCUCAUGGCCUUUA